rnacentral:lncRNA from 1 species
AUUAGCGAUAGGUCCCCCUAACGUAGCUUGCCUCCUGACUGCCUUUAAUUCCUGUGUCCCCAGCAGAACUACAGAGAGACAAAGAAGCAACAAUCACACUGGGGGCCACAGGAGGGCCCUCAGUGGUCUCCAUGGCUGGCCAGGACCCGACACUGAGCACCAGUCACCCAUUCUAUGAUGUGGCCAGACACAGCAUUCUUCAGGUGGCAGGGGAUGACCACCAGGGGAGACGCAUCUUCACAUUCAGCUGCUGCCGCUUGCCACCCUCGCACCAGCUCAACCACCAGCGUCUGCUGGAGUAAGUACUACCCUACACUCUGCCCCAUGUCCUCAUGUGGACUCUGGGAUAAGACCCAUCCUC